rnacentral:rRNA from 1 species
GACGAACCGUCAGAACGUUGUUCGGAAUCACUGGGCUUAAAGGGUGCGUAGGCGGCGCGGAAAGUUGGGUGUGAAAUCCCUCGGCUCAACCGAGGAACUGAGCCCAAAACUACCGUGCUCGAGGGAGAUAGAGGUGAGCGGAACUUAGGGUGGAGCGGUGAAAUGCGUUGAUAUCCUAAGGAACACCGGUGGCGAAAGCGGCUCACUGGAUCUCUUCUGACGCUGAGGCACGAAAGCUAGGGUAGCGAACGGG